CAAUAGCGUAUAUUAACGUUGUUGCGUUUGAAAAGCUCGUAGUUGAAUUUCUGGUAGGAGAUGACCACGUCUUGGAUGAAUUUCCUUGUUUUACGUUUGUGUUAUCUUUGGCCAUCCUAAUUGAUUUUAUAUAAAGUCAAUUUCAUUUACUGUAAAAAAAUUAGAGUGUUUCAAGCAUUUCGUAUGGAAGGAAUACAUCGUAUGGAAUAAUAAGAUAGGACUUUGGUGCUAUUUUGUUGGUUUGCACACCAAGGUAAUAUUUAAUAGGAACAGUUUGGGGGUAUUCGUAUUUAGUUGUCAGAGGUGAAAUUCUUGGAUUUACGAAAGACGAACAACUGCGAAAGCAUUUACCAAGGAUGUUUUCAUUAA
rnacentral:rRNA from 1 species